UACCAGACUCCUACGGGAGGCAGCAGUGGGGAAUCUUCCGCAAUGGGCGCAAGCCUGACGGAGCAAUGCCGCGUGAACGAAGAAGGUCUUCGGAUUGUAAAGUUCUGUCCUUAUCGAAGAGAGGGUAUAGAGUGAAAAAUGAUAUACUAGGACGGUAGAUGAGGAGGAAGCCCCGGCUAACUACGUGCCAGCAGCCGCGGUAAUACGUAGGGAGCGAGCGUUGUCCGGAAUUACUGGGUGUAAAGGGAGCGUAGGCGGGCGAGAAAGUUGAAUGUUAAAUCUACCGGCUUAACUGGUAGCUGCGUUCAAAACUUCUUGUCUUGAGUGAAGUAGAGGCAGGCGGAAUUCCUAGUGUAGCGGUGAAAUGCGUAGAUAUUAGGAGGAACACCAGUGGCGAAGGCGGCCUGCUGGGCUUUAACUGACGCUGAGGCUCGAAAGCGUGGGGAGCAAACAGGAUUAGAUACCCGAGUAAC
rnacentral:rRNA from 1 species